rnacentral:scRNA from 1 species
CAGUAGCAGCACCAGCAGCA